rnacentral:rRNA from 1 species
UACAGGGGGGGCAAGCGUUGUUCGGAAUUACUGGGCGUAAAGGGUUCGUAGGGGGCCAACUAAGUCAGACGUGAAAUCCCUCAGCUUAACUGGGGAACUGCGUUUGAUACUGGAUGGCUUGAGUGUAGGAGAGGAAUGCGGAAUUCCAGGUGUAGCGGUGAAAUGCGUAGAUAUCUGGAGGAACACCGGUGGCGAAGGCGGCAUUCUGGACUACAACUGACACUGAGGAACGAAAGCCAGGGGAGCAAACGGG